CGCCUUCAGCAUGAAGCGGUUCGCUGCACGCUUCCCCAUCGGAGCUCCGAGGGAAAACAAACCCAAAGUGAUCCUCCUGACAAGUAGGCUACACUGGAUAAAGUUUUGUGAUGACGACGAUUCUGCAGCCAUCCAAGAGGACAUCACUUCAUUUGUACUCAACAUGUUUGUGGUCAC